GACGAACGCUGGCGGCGUGCUUAACACAUGCAAGUCGAACGGAAAGGCCCUGCUUUUGUGGGGUGCUCGAGUGGCGAACGGGUGAGUAACACGUGAGUAACCUGCCCUUGACUUUGGGAUAACUUCAGGAAACUGGGGCUAAUACCGGAUAGGAGCUCCUGCUGCAUGGUGGGGGUUGGAAAGUUUCGGCGGUUGGGGAUGGACUCGCGGCUUAUCAGCUUGUUGGUGGGGUAGUGGCUUACCAAGGCUUUGACGGGUAGCCGGCCUGAGAGGGUGACCGGCCACAUUGGGACUGAGAUACGGCCCAGACUCAUACGGGAGGCAGCAGUGGGGAAUAUUGCACAAUGGGCGGAAGCCUGAUGCAGCAACGCCGCGUGCGGGAUGACGGCCUUCGGGUUGUAAACCGCUUUCGCCUGUGACGAAGCGUGAGUGACGGUAAUGGGUAAAGAAGAACCGGCUAACUACGUG
rnacentral:rRNA from 1 species